UACAUGAAAAAUUAAUAUCACAGCCCCAAAUAAUACCAUUUAGGUCACACAAAGUUCCCUUAAGAAGACUGGAUAAUUGCAACACUACCGGGUUGAUAACAACAUUCAAAAGUUCAAUAAUAGCAAGCAAAUAUCCCAUGCAUCAUUCUCAACAAGAAUCUUUCUUCCUUAAUUCUCAGCUUCUUCCCUCCAUUCAACUGUAAUCAUAAUACUAGAUUGCAACUUUCACAUUCUCCAAAUCCCCCGCACUGCAAUAACCAUAACCAUCAGGCCUUGUCUCCCAACUACAUAUGGUGAUUUGGCAAAGUCUCUAACUCAGAUCAGUCAAGCUUAAAAACGCAAAUAGAUCUACAGUAGACAAAAUGAUAUAUAAAAAGAAAUGCGAUCUUCAUAAAAUAGGCCUUGUAUAGGAUCUCCAACAUGAAUCAAGACCCCGAACCCAGCUCAAAAUGCUGAAUUUGCUGAAAAUACAAUAUAAAACCAUCCCUCAGCUCAAAACCACCAGAUCUGAGCCACAGCACCAUGUCAGUCCAAGCAGAUAUCUAUAAAGACAACCAAAAAAAAAUACCUAUCGCACCAAGAAAACCAGAAAAUCAAUCUUUUGCGCAAAAAACAGAGCAGAAACCAGGAAGCCUCUUCCCGGGACUCUUCGCCAUAUUUCUUAAAUCCAAGGCCAGAAAUCAAGCAAAGACCAAGGAUUCCUGAAACCCUAGCUACCUCCAGAUCAAUUCCAGCGAGAACAACAGCAGAUCUAGCG
rnacentral:lncRNA from 1 species